rnacentral:tRNA from 1 species
CAGAGUAUAACUUAACUAAAGUUCUUCGCUUACACCGAAACUAUAUUUGUGAAAAUCAAAUUAUUCUGA